GUACAGGAAGGGGAGCAGUCAACUGGCCCUUUCGUGUGACCCAAGAUUCUAGAAACCCGACUGGCUCGUUCGAUGGAAGCUAGAUUUCUAGUGUGGGCAGACCUCAUCUAAGCCCAAAGAUGUGGUUUUCUCUUCCCUCUGUCCAGCAAACAGCCUCCAACCCACAGGCUGCUUAUCAGUGGGCCCAUUUGCACAUCUAUUGGUGCUGGGCUGAAUAUCCAUGACCUUAAAAUGGGGUUUGGGGGUUUCAAGAUGAAAAAUCCCACAGAUCUCUCAUCGGUUUUCAUCAGUCAAGUGACCAGAAAGUAUAUAAGCAUGAGAGCAACUGAGGUAAUGACUGUUCUUGUUCUCUGCAGACAACAAAACAGAACAGAGCUAGACAUUAAAGUGGGGCUUCAAAUACAUUUAAAAGAGCUAUGUAUGCAUAUCAGUGAUGAGACAGGGACACGGCGAACUGCUGAGUAUGCUCUGGAGGGUCACUUUAAUCCAAGCAUCACCUCUCCACAGUGGAGACAUGAAGACAAUUCCUUACUUUGCAGAGGUUAAGGAUGGGGGCAGCUUUGGGAGUCAGCUUGAGUUGUCAUGUCAGCAAGGCCCAGCAGCAGCACCUGUGGGGUCUGAGUAUGACGUGACAUCCUGUGGUCGGUGGCACUGAGUGUCAUGUGAACGGGAUCCCCUCUGAGGACCCUACGAAGGGAGUCUCAAAACCAGCAUUUUUCUCCACUUGAUCCCAUGUCAUUUUUCAUAGUGUAAAACAUGAUUAAGCAAAGUGUCGGAAAAUCACAGGGAGUAACAUGCAAAUGACUGUGUCUUCCCACAUGCGUUCCAAGGGAUCAGUGAAACGAUCUGCUAGGCCUUUUCCAUCCGUAACAACCCUGCAUGUGUUUAACUUGGUGGGAAUCUCCUGGGUACAAGGCUUCAAGGAACAGAAUUUCUGAGGUUGAGUAUAUAUGGAAUACUAACAUGAUGCACCAAAAGAAAUGUCUGAGGCUGAUUCUCAGGGAUAAAAACCACCCCCGCUUCACCUCUUAUUUUUUUACAUUUCCAAAUGAUCUGAAACACCUAUCCGGAAACAAGCCAAAAUCCCUCCUAUUUUAACCUCCCUUGGAACACAGGAGAAAUCUAAACAGCUUGUUACAACUGCACUGCGGACAGAAAGCAAUCAGAUUCAAAGCAGCUGAGUUGGCAGAGCUUGGCAGAGGCGGGGUUAGGAAUGCUCCAAGUUUUAUGUCUGUCCUCUCCAUUUCUCUUGGCCCAAGAUGCUCUGAUUUUAUCAGCAUGAAGAUAUUAAAAAACACCUAUGUGUGAGGCAAGCCACAGAGCCUCCUCCUUGGGCCAAAUUCUGUGUCCAACACAGUCCCAAGUGGGCAAGAAGUGUUUCCAGGCACAAUCACCAGAGUCAAAGGUGGUCUUCUCGAAUGUGGGAAAAACUUCACUUUAAUUGCAAACGCCUUCAUUUAUAAGCACAUCCAAUAAUGAACAAAAUGAAGAGCUGUGACUUUUGAACAU
rnacentral:lncRNA from 1 species